rnacentral:rRNA from 1 species
GAUCCUGGCUCAGAACGAACGCUGGCGGCGCGUCUUAAGCAUGCAAGUCGAACGGCAAGAGGUAGCAAUACCUCCUAGAGUGGCGGACUGGUGAGUAACACGUGGGUGACAUACCCUUCAGAUGGGGAUAGCUAUUAGAAAUAGUAGAUAAUACCGAAUACGAGCACAGGGGUUAGAGAUCUGUGAGGAAAGGAGCUAAGGCUCCGCUGAAGGAAUGGCCUGCGGCCCAUUAGCUAGUUGGUGAGGUAAGAGCCCACCAAGGCGAUGAUGGGUAUCCGGCCUUAGAGGGUGAACGGACACAUUGGGACUGAGAUACGGCCCAGACUCCUACGGGAGGCAGCAGCUAAGAAUAUUCCGCAAUGGACGAAAGUCUGACGGAGCGACGCCGCCGUGGAUGAAGAAGGCCGGAAGGUUGUAAAAUCCUUUUGAAACUGAAGAAUAAGCGUUGUAGGGAAUGACAGCGUGGUGACAGUAGGUUUUGAAUAAGCAACGGCUAAUUACGUGCCAGCCGCCGC